rfam:Astyanax mexicanus chromosome 17, whole genome shotgun sequence.
ACCAGGAUGGCCGAGUGGUUAAGGCGUUGGACUUAAGAUCCAAUGGAUGUAAAUCCACGUGGGUUCGAACCCCACUCCUGGUA